GAGAAAGAAAUGCAAGGAUGUUCUCCAGUUGCAAUCCAACAUAGCUAGCUAAUUUAUAUGAAAUUAUAUUUUGGAGAAGGAACGUAGACCGCUGCGUUUUUCAAUUGGGAUCAAUGCCUCUACCAACCCUCUCUGCCCACAUUGGCCGAGUCGAGUUCGUUCUCUGGAAAACCAGAUGGUGCGACAGGGGGAACAGGAGGCACGUUGGCGGCAACACUGGGAGCUGCACUCAAUGCACUAAAGACAACAACAGAACAUUGGAGAAGUCCCAGUGUGUUUGGGAGAAGUGGGAGGCAGAGUAGGAGAGGAGAGCCAGGGAGAGGCUCAUUCAGGAGGCUCUUGCAGAUGGAGCUCAAGAUGCAGGAGAACCGUCAGGCUCAGGAUGAGUCUCUGAGGAGGCGGGGGGAGGGCUGAUCCAGGAGCUGGCGAGGCAGACCAGACGCCGAGAGGGUGGAGGAAGAGGGCCAAAGGACGCGAACAGGAACAGCCUGUGUUGACUGGGGUGUCGCAGGUGAAGGAGAGGGAUGCCCUAAGGCUGCAGGAGGAUGAGCAGAGGCUGGAGACUCAUAGGAUGGCCCAGCAGAGCUACCAGGACAAGGUACUGAUCCAGGGUCCAGUUCAUUAGGGCAAGCAAAGCCAACGUUUUUACCUGGUAGCUAAACAGAUGACAAUCAAUUUGGCAAAUAUACACACCCAUUUUUUUUGUUAAUUGCUAAAGCAAUUGAUUAGUUUUGUCCCCUGUAUAUACUCUUGCCUUCCUCCGCUCAUAGAUUUGUAGCAGACCUUGAUCAGCCUGGACGUGAGGCCAAAAGACACUCCACAAUCAUGUUUUUAUACAAAUAAUUAUUCUUAAUGGGUUUAAAAUGUGUCAAGUAUUCCUACACCAUGCUUAUAUCAGCUGCUGCAUGUGGUGGUUGUAAAGUGUUACGUAUUUAGCAAACUGGUUUAAGGGUGUUGUAAUCUUGGUGUGGGUUUAUGUUUGUAGGUUUUUCUGACGGAAUUGUUUUUUCAUUAACUAAAAUCAUAUUUUCCUUUCUUUGCACAUCACAAUAGUUGAUUGUACAGGUUGUACAGUACGUGGCCAAAUACGACAUUGCAUGAGGUUACAAUUAUAAAUUAAGUUUAUUUAAAAAAAUAAGGCUUCCCCUCCAACUGUAGCUAUGAUUACCGCACAACUGACACCUGUUUGAAGUCCAUUCAGAACAAGAGUCAAACACAGAGGGACAUUUCCUUGAUUACAUUUCAAGUACAACACAGCUCUGAACCAUCUGCUGACGGCAACCAUGCACUUGCAGAAUUGUAGUGGAGCUAUCUACAAUCCUAUCCAAUUAGUUGCACAUGUCAAAGCUAGCAGCAUUACAGAACGGAGCACAAGAACACAUGGAAGAGGGCAAAUGAUUAUUUGCGCUGCAAAUCUAUCCACUGUCACAGCACUAACACUGUUCUAGCAUCUUAGCUUAUAAAUAAAACAUUCACUAGAACUCAAUACAAGUACAACAUAUUGCUGGUGAAGAGCAUAAUUUGCCCCCCUGAACAAGCGUUGAAAUGCAAUAAUAGGCAUAGAUGGUUCUAGUAGAUGCAAUGAAAGCAAUUACACUUGGAUGGGGGAGACAUGGACAUUGCAGGGAUACAAAAAUGUGCACAGAUGAGUGAUGGUUCAUCAGAUCCAAAUCUCCCAACAUUCCUCCCUACGCUUGCUGGAAUUGUAUUAAAUGGUACAUUAGAAUUCCAUAGUUAUUUAUGUAGCUCCAAGGUGUGUAAAGUUUAUACACUUUAUGGCUUAUUCAUAGCUUUCACAACAUCCUUAACCAUGUGGAAUACUAUGCUGGAUCGCAUUAAAUCUGCUUACAGGAAGCAUUUGGCCUGGGGGCUGCCAGUUUGAGACCCCUGGUUCCGACAAGGAGCAUUAAAGUGGAUGAAAGGCCUUCCUAAGGAGGGUAUAGGUGUUGGGGAGCUAAAAAAAAUACCAAAAAUAUGGCUUCAUUGGUGUGAGAAAUACUGUGUCGAAGUAUGUAGAACCACAAAACUAAGAAGUGUGGUUAGGAAACUGCAUAUUAGCGACAAAGGAUCUCCUGGGAACGCCCAAUCAUCUUGUCAGUAUUUGGCUGUACUGUAGAUUCCUGUUGUA